rnacentral:rRNA from 1 species
GACAGAGGUGCCGAGCGUUAGGCGGAAUCACUGGGCUUAAAGCGUGUGUAGGCGGACUUCUAAGUACCUUGUGAAAUCCCACGGCUCAACCGUGGAACUGCUUGGUAUACUGGUCGUCUUGAGCCAUCUAGGGGCUGUCGGAACAAAUGGUGGAGCGGUGAAAUGCGUAGAUAUCAUUUGGAACGCCAAAGGUGAAAACAGACAGCUGGGGAUGUGCUGACGCUGAGACACGAAAGCCAGGGAGCGAACGGG